UAGAGUUUGAUCAUGGCUCAGAUUGAACGCUGGCGGCAUGCCUAACACAUGCAAGUCGCACGCGAAAGGGGGCAACCCUGAGUAGAGUGGCGGACGGGUGAGUAACGCGUAGGAAUCUACCUGGUAGUGGGGGACAACCCGGUGAAAACCGGGCUAAUACCGCAUACGAUCCACGGAUGAAAGCAGGGGACCGCAAGGCCUUGCGCUAUCAGAUGAGCCUGCGUCGGAUUAGCUAGUUGGUGAGGUAACGGCUCACCAAGGCGACGAUCCGUAGCUGGUUUGAGAGAACGACCAGCCACACCGGAACUGAGACACGGUCCGGACUCCUACGGGAGGCAGCAGUGGGGAAUAUUGGACAAUGGGGGCAACCCUGAUCCAGCAAUGCCGCGUGUGUGAAGAAGGCCUUCGGGUUGUAAAGCACUUUCGGUGGGGACAAACAAGGCGGAGCUAACAUCUCCGUCCCUGAUGGUACCCAAAGAAGAAGCACCGGCUAACUUCGUGCCAGCCGCCGCGGUAAUUC
rnacentral:rRNA from 1 species